rnacentral:rRNA from 1 species
AUUGAACGCUGGCGGCAGGCCUAACACAUGCAAGUCGAGCGGAUGAGUGGAGCUUGCUCCAUGAUUCAGCGGCGGACGGGUGAGUAAUGCCUAGGAAUCUGCCUGGUAGUGGGGGACAACGUUUCGACAGGAACGCUAAUACCGCAUACGUCCUACGGGAGAAAGUGGGGGAUCUUCGGACCUCACGCUAUCAGAUGAGCCUAGGUCGGAUUAGCUAGUUGGUGAGGUAAAGGCUCACCAAGGCGACGAUCCGUAACUGGUCUGAGAGGAUGAUCAGUCACACUGGAACUGAGACACGGUCCAGACUCCUACGGGAGGCAGCAGUGGGGAAUAUUGGACAAUGGGCGAAAGCCUGAUCCAGCCAUGCCGCGUGUGUGAAGAAGGUCUUCGGAUUGUAAAGCACUUUAAGUUGGGAGGAAGGGCAGUAAGUUAAUACCUUGCUGUUUUGACGUUACCAACAGAAUAAGCACCGGCUAACUUCGUGCCAGCAGCCGCGGUAACAC